CCUACGGGUGGCUGCAGUAGGGAAUCUUCCGCAUUGGACGAAAGUCUGACGGAGCAACGCCGCGUGAGCGAAGAAGGUCUUCGGAUCGUAAAGCUCUGUUGUUAGGGAAGAACAAGUACGGGAGGAAAUGACCGUACCUUGACGGUACCUAACGAGGAAGCCACGGCUAACUACGUGCCAGCAGCCGCGGUAAUACGUAGGUGGCAAGCGUUGUCCGGAAUUAUUGGGCGUAAAGCGCGCGCAGGCGGUCUUUUAAGUCUGAUGUGAAAUCUUACGGCUCAACCGCAAGCGGUCAUUGGAAACUGGGAGACGUGAGUGCAGGAGAGGAAAGCUGAAUUCCACGUGUAGCGGUGAAAUUCUUAGGGCUGUGGAGGAAAACGAGUGGCGAAGGCUGCUUUCUGGUCUGUAACUGACGCUGAGGCGCGAAAGCGUGGGGAGCAAACAGGAUUAGAUUCCCGGGUAGUC
rnacentral:rRNA from 1 species